ACUUGCUAAUAGGUGUUAACAUUUACUUAGCUGUGAACAGUUGUCUGCACUGAGGAACAAUCAUUACCUCCAAACCCCUUCCCCUGGCCACACACACACACACACACACACACACACACACACACACACACACGAACGCACACGCACGAACGCACACACCCAGGACCAUCUAUGAAUGUACACAGCCGAGAUCACACCCAGCCAAAGUAAAUAGUAAAGAAGUGGCCAGUUCCCAAACGGACCUCUGUGACCUCACCAGCAGUGCCACACCUGCUGUGUCCCCUGAGACCUUUUUCCUAACAUGAAGUUCCUCUGCUGUCACCUCUCCAAGUUUGCUGUCUUGCUUCCAGAAAAUGCCAGCCAGAACAACCACUGCACUCAGUGUCCAGAUACCAAGCUAUCAGAAACAUGCAGCUACAGCUGAGCAGCUGCGACCAUCUCCGUCCUUUCAGGAUCGGUCGCCAUCUUGACCCUGGAGAGACUCAGAACAAACCUCUCUGAAAUUUCAAAGACCCAGAGCUCACAUCUUUUGACUACAAGAAAAUGGAGAAAAGAAAAAAGGCAUGAAAGGUACUGUGAGCCUACCCUUGUCCUUGUCCCGCAUGGCCACUUCUCCGUCUUCUGCAGCACUGUGUUUGCAGAGGUCAACGCGGCUUGCCUGUGCAGUCCUUACUCAACGGCCACAGCAAAGUGCUGCGGAGUUACAACGGUACAGUCUGGCUUCUGUUGUACUUGACUAAUCUAUACGCUGUUACACUUACUUUUUUUAAACAUGUAUUUACUUAUUGGGGAGCGUGUCACACACACGAAUGGUGGUCAGAUGACAACUUGCAGUCAGUCUCUCCUUUCAAUAUGUGGGUCAUCCAAUUGGUGCUGGAGCUUGGCGCUUGGAAGCUUGGGCUCUUGGGUGCUUGGCAUCGAGCAUCUUAGCCUGCUCACCAGUCCCUUACAGUUGUUACUGUAGUGCUUCUCUCCAGUUACAAUCACCAAGUCACAAAACAGAGUGUGACAAAUAGGGUCUGGGCCUCCUCAAGAGUCAUUCUAAGGGAGCAAUCUGCAAGGAGGUCUACAUACAUCCCAGGGGAACACAUGACGAUUCUGGGGAGGGUAGGAAGCGAUGAGACUUAGUCCUACAUUUCCUUCCCUUCAUGCUUGUUUUCUCUCAGAUUUUCUAACGUGCGUAAAAUAUAUUUCCAAACAUAAAAUCAUAUAUCUGUGAGUGUGUCUUCAGACUUGUUGAAGAUCAGAAAUAUUUGAGGGCAAUACUUGUCAAUAAACACACAAGCUGUCAACUGAGCUGCAAUAUGUAACUUUAAACCUUCCAUAGACCCACGUGCAUGGCGCUCUGCAUGCUAAGCAAGCAGCUACAACUCCAGUCGUAACUUGUAAAAUUUAAAUUGCACGAAGAGUGGUGUAUUUAAAUCCUUUUAGUUUGUUUACUCUUGUUCCGACGCGGGUGCGUUCGCUUGCGUGUACCUGCGCAUGCGUGUGGUGCGUGCUGAGGCUGGAAGAGGAGCUCAGAUGUCAUCCCCAUGGAGACUUCCACCUUGGGCUUCGAGAUAGGAUCAGUGUUUGUCUGGAGCCUAUUAGGCUAAACUGGCUGGCUAGCCCCAGGGAUCUGCCUACCUCUGUCUCCCCAGUGCUGGGUUUACAAAUAUAGGUGACAAUGCCCUGGGGAUUGAACCGAGUCCUUGCGCUUGCAUGGAAGCACUUCACUAAGGAAACUAUUCCCCAUCACCCUAUUUUAUUUCCUUUUAACAACUGGGCCUUGAUUCCUCGUAAAAACCAACAUUAGACAAGCAUGGCCAGUACUUUAUUUCUUUGCUAACAACAACAAAAACCCUAAAAGUUGAUGAACUUGAAGUAUGAAAAUAUGAAUAUUACAUCUGUUGAUGCUUACUGGGUAGCCACCGGCUAAGUGCUGCAUCUCCCUAGUGACCUCUGUUGCCUCCUCUAAAAGCCACAGGACUCAGUUCACUGACUACUGUGUCUCUGCUGCUCCCUGUUAAGAACACUUUUAAAUAAAGGGCCAAAGAAGUCCGUGUAGUCAGAACCAGGAGGUCACUGUAUCCUCAUCUAUGUUCUGUCCUCCUUGGAGAAGAGUCAAUCAAUCAAUCGAUUGAUCGAUAAAGAUUAUCCCUGGACUCUUCACCUUCUCCUAAGUCCCACCUGUGCCCUGCCUGGUUUCCCAGCACGGCACUUUCCUACUAGGUCUUCUCGGAGUGAAUUCAUGUCUGUAGUCGAUUAAUUAAACCCUGUAUUGAUUUUUGCAUCCUCUGGGACACCUCUAAAAGAGUUAUAUCCUUGAAGCCUCAAAUAUGAGUUAGUAGAACAUUUCCCCCUUGCAAAUGUGAUACCUGGAGUCAUCCCGGUCCUCUGAGUUAUCUCCAAGCAGGCAACAACACCCACCCACACAUACACACAC